GUGGUUUUUGAGACUAAAGAUCUCCCUUUUGCCAAGCUUCCGUCGGCCGUUCCAUGCUCUUUUUGGACAGAGAAUGGCCUUCUUUCCCCCUUGCUUGGUUGUGGGUCAUUCCUCCUCCCCUCUAGAUGGGGUUUGUGGAUAAAUAAUGUCUAUGAUUUGGUUGGAAGACUAGCAAUUAACUGUAAGGGUUUUAUUGUGCUGCCUCUACUGAGUUGGUUGCAUGCAGUAAUGAGUUUCUACAUUUGUUUCUCUGUUUUUAGCUCUAAAAGGGCAAAUGCUUUUAGGGAUGAAGGUACCUCAGGGGUCUCUAGCCGGCUUCAGCCUCAUGGCCAACCCCCAUGGUUUCUGCUGCCAUUAGAGCUUUGGCUCAUCAUCCUUCAAAGUGGUUACCUAGAAUGCAUUGAUGUUUUCUAGGUGAUAUGGCUGGUUUGCUCUGGAGCUUUUUCAUCUCUUUUUCUGGGUUGUUUGGUCUUGCUGCUUUG
rnacentral:misc_RNA from 1 species